rnacentral:rRNA from 1 species
GACGAACGCUGGCGGCGUGCUUAACACAUGCAAGUCGAACGGACAGACAGAGAGCUUGCUCUCUUGAAGUUAGUGGCGAACGGGUGAGUAACGCGUAAUCAACCUGCCCUUCAGAGGGGGAUAACAACGGGAAACCGUUGCUAAUACCGCGUACGAUUCAUGAACGGCAUCGUUUAUGAAUGAAAGGUGGCCUCUAUGUAUAAGCUAUCGCUGAAGGAGGGGAUUGCGUCUGAUUAGCUAGUUGGAGGGGUAACGGCCCACCAAGGCAAUGAUCGGUAGCCGGUCUGAGGGGAUGAACGGCCACAUUGGGACUGAGACACGGCCCAAACUCCUACGGGAGGCAGCAGUGGGGAAUCUUCCGCAAUGGACGAAAGUCUGACGGAGCAACGCCGCGUGAGUGAUGAAGGUCUUCGGAUUGUAAAGCUCUGUUAAUCGGGACGAAAGAGUUCUGCGUGAAUAAUGCAGGAAAGUGACGGUACCGGAAUAGAAAGCCACGGCUAACUACGUGCCAGCCGCCGCCGUAA